AUCUAGCCGACGAGUCCCAAAUAGGACAAAACACGCGUCCUGGAU
rnacentral:hammerhead_ribozyme from 1 species